GAUGAACGCUAGCGGGAGGCCUAAUACAUGCAAGUCGAACGGUAACAGGGUAGCAAUACCGCUGACGAGUGGCGCACGGGUGAGUAACACGUACACAACCUGCCUUAUACUGGAGCAUAGCCUUGGGAAACUAAGAUUAAUUCUCCAUAAUAUUAUGAAGCGGCAUCGCUUUAUAAUUAAAAUUCCGAUGGUAUAAGAUGGGUGUGCGUCUGAUUAGCUAGNGGUGAGGUAACGGCUCACCAAGGCAACGAUCAGUAACUGGUCUGAGAGGAUGAUCAGUCACACGGGCACUGAGACACGGGCCCGACUCCUACGGGAGGCAGCAGUAGGGAAUAUUGGACAAUGGGCGCAAGCCUGAUCCAGCCAUCCCGCGUGAA
rnacentral:rRNA from 1 species